rnacentral:rRNA from 1 species
GUAAGCGCGGUAUUGGAUAUCCGCGUCCAAGCAGUUAGGCUGGGAAAUAGGCAAAUCCGUUUCCCGUGAAGGCUGAGCUGUGAUGGCGAGCGAAUUAUAGUAGCGAAGUUCCUGAUUCCACACUGCAAAGAAAAGCCUCUAGCGAGGUGAGAGGUGCCCGUACCGCAAACCGACACAGGUAGGCGAGGAGAGAAUCCUAAGGUGAUCGAGAGAACUCUCGUUAAGGAACUCGGCAAAAUGACCCCGUAACUUCGGGAGAAGGGGUGCUCUGUUAGGGUGCAAGCCCGAGAGAGCCGCAGUGAAUAGGCCCAGGCGACU